UUUUUGUAUCUCAUAAUUUCGAUUUUUUAUCUCAUAAUUUUGACUUUAUCUCAUAAUUUUGACUUUUUAUCUCAUAAUUUUGACUUUUUAUCUCAUAAUUAUGACUUUUUAUCUCGUAAUUAUGACUUUUAUCUCAUAAUUUUGAUUUUUGUAUCUCAUAAUUUUGACUUUUUAUCUCAUAAUUAUGACUUUAGAGCCUGAUUUUUUUUAUCACGUGGCGGAAACGGGCUUCCAUAGGUUAAUUUCCUGUAAUUUUAAAUUACAGAAAUAUUAGUUUUUUUUAAAAGCAAUUUAUAGUAUUUUUACAGUUACCAAAAUGUAAUGAAGUAAUAAUUUACGGAUUUUUUCUGUAAAAGAAAUAUAUGUAAAAUUGCAACUGCUUUGUCAUUAAAUGCAGUUUAAGGUCAUUGUGUAUUUAGGGUAUUUUAGAGGUCAACUGGUAAUUCUACAGACACAAAUGUAAUUUAUUUUGACAUUUAUUUUUGUUCUCACCUAAACAACAUACAACUUUGCAUUUUGACAAUUUAAAUAUAGUAAACUGUAGUAAAACUGCUAGAUCCUAUUACGUUUUUGAAACUUUGCCUAACAUAUUAAAUAUUAAAAUAAAGUAUUUACGUGUGCAACGGUUAUCGAUUCACUAUAGCUAAUACAACAUACAGUAUUUUAACAGUUUGUAAUAAUUUCUGUAAUAUAUUACAGUACGGCAGUAUUUGUAAUUUAAACAACAAUAUUGUAAUUAAUCUGCAAUCAAAUUUAUAACUCUCCUUUUGGGCAUAUAUAUUUUAGUUGCGUAAGACUUCCAUCAUCCAAUCAGAGGCUGCAAAUUUAAAUUUGGCGCACUUGCGUCUUAACGGCUGUGAGUGGCGGUAUUAGUGCGAGCAGCAGAGCCAGAGCGGGAGUUUUCAAACUCCAGUGGAUUACUAUGGUAGCCAGGCAGACACCGCGGGAAACAUCUCUGAGAACAGCAGUGAGCAGUAGCGUGCGAGUGACAGUGAAGAAAUUUCUUCCGCUCCGAUGGAAAUAUAUGACAUGUAGGCUACAUAUAAAGCGCCAAUACUUUUGAAACUGUGAGGAAAACAACGCGCCUUUAGCGCCUGCUUCACUAUACUCGUCGUCACCAUGUCAGUCAGAGCAGCCGACCACCGGAUGAGCCUGGAUCCAGUUGUAUGCAAGAGACUGAUGCUCUCAGCUGCGGAAGACAGGUCACCAGAACAGAUGCUUUUGAAUCGAGGAAUAGAGAAUGCCCGGUAAAAAGAGCUGACCUAUUUCAACAUUACAGCCUCAUACAUGGAUGUUACACAAGAACUGAACCGCUA